GGCUUCAUAGAUUUUGUGGAUUCAUUUUUGGAAUAGAAUAGUGAUCUGAUUUCAUUUCUAGGGCAACAUUGAUUUUCUUGUUGUUGUAAUAACAGAGAUGGAGAGUUAUGAGGCUGGUGGUGGUGAACAGAUUUGCAGAAUGAAAAGAGGGAAUUGGGAAUGCAAGAGUGUUAGUGUUGAAAAUGAAUUACAGUAUUGUGAAAAACAUUACAAAGAUUUUACAACCCAGAAGAAGAUGGAGGAGAAGGAGCUUCCUCCAGAUGAAAAGCGUUGUUGUCAAACUAGUUAUAGACAGGAAAUUUAAAAUGGGUCAUGGUACUUCUGCUGCUGCUACUGAUCAAAUUUUGUGAAAAACAUUACUAUGAUUACGCAAAGUAUUAUAAGAAGAAGCUUCUUGAGAAGAAGAAGACAAGUGGAGAUCGUGAAGGUGCAGUUGCAGGUUGUAGUGCUACUGGUGGUCCUAUACAAACUAGGGCUUCCAAACGGAGGAAGAAGGUCACAGAGGAAGAUGACUGGUCCGUUGAUGAAACAGGAGGAGGAAUUCAAUCAGCUACUAGUACUGAUGAUUCUCUGAUAGAAUUGAAGAAAGUGGUUCUCUUAAUAUUGGGAGGAAUAUGAAAGAGAAUGCUGGAGACAACUAGAAUCACUGAUAAGAAUUAGGGAAUGUAUGGUCGAAUUGGAGAGUCUGGAGCAUUAUAAGAGUAAGUGUUUUCAAUUGUCUGUGGCGCUUGACAAGAUGAAAUUAGAGCAUGAGAAGAUGAGAGUGGAGCUUGAGAAGAAGAAAGUGGAGUGCACUACACUCCAGGUUAAAUUCAGAGGUAGAAACUAGAAAGACUGCUGCUACAGAUGAGACUGAACGGGAAACCGCAAAUGCAACUGAAUAUUGUACGAAAAUGAUGUCCGAUUUUGAGAGUCGACUCCUGAGGAUGGAAAAUAAAAAUUCAACAAUGGGAUGUUUAGAGUCUCAGAUUUCGAAUUGGAGAGACUAAACCUGAGAAUGGAAAAUGAAAUUUUCACAAUGGGAUGUGUAGAAUCUCGCAUUUCAAAUUUGGAGAGCCUAGUAUUGAGGAGUAGGAGGAAAGUUCCAUAUUGAGAUGUCUAGAACUGCGUGAUUCUGGAAAAAUAGAGUCUGAAGCGUGGGGUUUGCACAAUGAUGUUGCUCGAGGUGGUGAAAAGCAAAGAGAUAAGCAUAGCAGGGGCACACCUAAUGCUGAAUUUAGCAGUGGAGGGAGGAAGGAUUCUUAUGUGUUCAAGUUUAAAACCAAAGAGAAGGUACUGAAUGCAUAUGGUGUUGAUUCAAUAAACAUCAUGAAUCAGAGUCUGAAUUUUCCAAAUACUCUACUAUGAACAUUUUGUCUGGAAGUCUACAUUUAUCAAGUGGGGAAGAAAACAUUGAGGAAGGUAACUGUUGGGGCUUUUCGGAAGAGAGACCAUCUCAACAUGGAUCAUCAUCUCAAGAUCAACUGGGUUUAAGAUGACUUCUGUGAAAUCGACAGCAUAUAUCUGAAGACAAAAUAUCACCCAAUGUGUUGGUCAUUAACGGUGACAGGCUCAGGUGUACUACUUUGGCCAAGUUUCUAAUGGAUGAGGACAACAGAGGUGACCUAAAGAAGUCCAUGAAAGAGUUAACGACAUUGGAUCCUAAAGAGGUUGACAACUGCAAGAAGCUGUCUAAAAGAUACAUGGUCUACUUAUUCGGUAUCUACGAAAAGUAAAAGGAUCCUUUUUUCUUCCAGCUACAACUGCCAGCCAUGGAAAUCAAACAGCUAAGUGAUAAAUUGUUGUAAAUGGAAGAACAGAUGAAGCAUUUAAGUUGCUUGAUAGAAUGGAAAAUGAGGUUUGUGAUCCAGAUACAAUUACAUUCAGUUUACUGAUCUCUGGACUAGGGAAGCAAGGAAGAGCAGAUGAGGGAGUUGACCGUUUGGAUAGAACGAAAAUGAGUGGGUUCAAACCAAAUUCGGGGUCAUAUCAAGUUUUUCUAUACAGUAUAAUUAAUUCUAAGAAGUUCAUUGAUGCUAAGCAUUUCAUAGAUAGGAAUAGGACGAUGUCAGAGGGAUUUUCGCCCAGUUCUUUUGUCGUACAAGACGGUGAUAGAGGAACUCUGCAACAAUAACCGUUCGGGAGAUGUGGAUUUCGUUUUGAAUCAGAUGAUGCACCAAGGAUUUGUUCCGAAGAUGGGAACAUGGAAAAAGAUUGUCGAAAGCAUUUUCUGAGGAAGGGAAGAACUCGGUAGCCGUAAUAGAAUAUGUCUGUGAGUUUUUGCAUUUAAAUCUUUCUCCUGUUGUUAAGAACUCUGGACUAAGAUUCUGGUAUAGAAAUUUGAGGGAAUAUGCAAAUUGUACCCUAAAAGCUUCAUUUCAACCACUGAUAGGGACUGCUGGUAUAUCCCCUAGUACUGGUAACUCUUGAGUGAGAAUUGGCCACUCGCUGCUAAUGUGGCUCAAAAGUUACCCCUCCAUGUGAUUGGUGGUAACUUGAGUUUAAGCUCGAUCAUCUUUAUUGUUUGGACUUAAAGAGUCUUGCCCAGAAUCACAUGCUGCUGUCUUUCUGACAAUCCUUGCGGCAGAGAGCUCUAAAUCGGUAUUCUUCUAUUUGGAGGCACAACAUGGCCAAGGAAGAUACGUGAUACCGUAACUCACUUUGAAUUGGAUUAAUAGGGUAAGAACAAUGAUAAGGUGGGAGGUAAUGAAGCUGAUGAAUAUUUGAAUUAAAUUUCAGUGUUUUUUUCUACUCAAGAAUUUGGAUAAAUAGGCAAUUAGAUGUACUUUUCUCACAGUAAUUUCACCCUUUUUAACUAUGUGAUUCCUGGUAUAGCAUUUGCUAACUAUACCUAAUUUGUUGGAUGCAGAGUAGCAAGUGUCGAUGUGCUUUUUCUUUCCCUGAUGAACAAUGAUAUACAUAGCACCAAAAGGCUUUCAAGAAAACCAGAUUCAAUUCUCUGUUGAGCAUAGUGUGCCUUCAGGAUGGCAGCUUUUGAGACUUGAUGUCAAUUUGUACCGAAGCCAGGUUGUUCGUCGACAGAGUCCUUUUGCAUCUUCCAUAUACCUACCAUUCCAGAAGAGAUACCAUGCGUCACAAGGCAAAGACUCCUAUCUAGUUCUACAAAGAACGUCGUGUAGUUGCCCUCAUACUCUGCCUUCUGAUGAUCAGGUUCAGGAAUCAAUUUGAAACUCUCAGCUGCCACAUCGAAACACACAAUGUUUUUGGAAGCGAGCCAAUAUAUAGAUCCUUCAACAAACACUGGUUCCGCAUGCUCAUCGGAGUCCUCUAUAAAUGGGUAAGGAAAACUGGGUUGAUAUUGAAUCUUUCUCCAUAACAUGGUGGUACUUAACUCUAAGACCUCACAUUCCAACGAAGAGGUAGAAAGACAUCGUUUCAAUUGAACCACUUUGUAUACAUUCUUUUUUGUGUCAAAACCAAAUCCACAUGCACUUGCCUUCUCUUUUUCUUCUUCAAUCCGAGGUCUCGGAAGCUCUAGUAUUUCCUUGGUAAUUGGGUUCGCCAUAAGCAAAGGAAACUCCCUAUAAAAACACAGCAAGCCGUUGCAGGAAGUCAGUUUCGUUAUCCGACUCUUUGGCACAAAUACUCUGAACUUGUCAGUUGCUGUCAUCUCAUUACUGGGGACAUCUCCGUAAUCCCACAGUUUGUUGAAAAUUGUCCGAUAGAGAUAAAACUCUUGAGCACUAUUUGCAUAGAUGAAAACAAUACCGAUAGAUUGAUUAUUUGCUUUGUGAUGAUCAAAAUGCUGUUUGACGAAUUUUGGAUCUCUGAUUAAUGAUAACCAAUCUUUGCAUACACUCUUGAAUCUCAGUAAGGACUCUGCCGGACUUCUUAACAGAAUUUCAUGGAUGAGAUGUGGAGGAAGAUCUUUUACAAUACUGUCUCUGAAGAAAUCUAUGGUAAUAGGUUCAUGAUGUCAUUGUUGUUUAUUCUGUAUAUUUUGAUGGGAUGACUUAACCAAGAAUUCAUCUUUGAAAGAGUUUGAGAAUCUCUACUGCAGGACUAUGCUUAUAUAGGCUCAACUUUUAACUUUUCAAAUUUCAUUUUCAGAGAGAGACGUGCAACAGUUUCUCUCUUGGAGUGUGUAACUUAAACUACAAGCGCAGGCCGGUCGGGCCAACUUCGGUUGCAUUUUCCAUUUUGGUGUUUGUUUGUUGAA